GAACCGGCGAGUUACGAUAGCAUGCGAGGUUAAGUUGAAGAGACGGAGCCGCAGCGAAAGCGAGUCUGAAUAGGGCGAAUGAGUAUGUUGUCGUAGACCCGAAACCAUGUGAUCUACCCAUGUCCAGGUUGAAGGUGCGGUAAAACGCACUGGAGGACCGAACCCACGUACGUUGAAAAGUGCGGGGAUGAGGUGUGGGUAGCGGAGAAAUUCCAAACGAACUUGGAGAUAGCUGGUUCUCUCCGAAAUAGCUUUAGGGCUAGCCUCGGAAUUGAGAAUGAUGGAGGUAGAGCACUGUUUGGACUAGGGGCCCAUCUCGGGUUACCGAAUUCAGAUAAACUCCGAAUGCCAUUCAUUCAUAUCCGGGAGUCAGACUGUGAGUGAUAAGAUCCAUAGUCGAAAGGGAAACAGCCCAGACCACCAGCUAAGGUCCCCAAAUAACUAUUAAGUGGAAAAGGAUGUGGGGUUGCACAGACAACUAGGAUGUUGGCUUAGAAGCAGCCACCAUUUAAAGAGUGCGUAAUAGCUCACUAGUCGAGUGACCCUGCGCCGAAAAUGUACCGGGGCUAAAUAGUUUACCGAAGCUGUGGAGUGCACCAUCAGGUGCAUUGGUAGGAGAGCGUUCUAAGGGCGUUGAAGGCAGAUCGUGAGGACUGCUGGAGCGCUUAGAAGUGAGAAUGCCGGUAUGAGUAGCGAAAGACAGGUGAGAAUCCUGUCCACCGAAUGACUAAGGUUUCCUGGGGAAGGCUCGUCCGCCCAGGGUUAGUCGGGACCUAAGCCGAGGCCGACAGGCGUAGGCGAUGGACAACAGGUUGAUAUUCCUGUACCCGUUGUUUUUGUUUGAGCAAUGGAGGGACGCAGGAGGCUAAGAAGUGCAGACUGAUGGAUAUGUCUGUUCAAGCAGUAAGUCUUGGUAGGAGUCAAAUGCUUCUACCUAUACGGACAAGCUGUGAUGAGGAGGGAAAUAAUAGUACCGAAGCUUCUGAUGUCACACUGCCAAGAAAAGCUUCUAGUGAGAAAACAACGGCCCGUACCGCAAACCGACACAGGUAGUCGAGGAGAGAAUCCUAAGGUGAGCGAGAGAACUCUCGUUAAGGAACUCGGCAAAAUGACCCCGUAACUUCGGGAGAAGGGGUGCUGCUCUAACGAGCAGCCGCAGUGAAUAGGCCCAAGCGACUGUUUAUCAAAAACACAGGUCUCUGCAAAAUCGAAAGAUGACGUAUAGGGGCUGACGCCUGCCCGGUGCUGGAAGGUUAAGAGGAGU
rnacentral:rRNA from 1 species